AUGAGUUGGCGGUGGUUGCCGUUACUGGCCUUGAUAUCACUUUGGAAGUAUAGCUCUGGACUCUAGGUAACCCUCACUCAUACUCGAGGUAACCUGGAAGUCAACGUAUAUGUGAGGAGUUUUAGAUUCGUUACAUUUUUUGCAUGUCUUCGUUGUGUUUUUUGCAUGCAAGUCGACCAGUAUGUCCAGUCAGCAUGAAGGUCACGAGAAACAUUACGUAAAACUGGCAUGCGGUGGUGUAGAGGUUGGGUGAGAAUGACACGUGUUUCAUCAUUAUCAAAGCAGACCCAUCCCCCGCAACGUCACCUGCAGAAGGAAAGGCAAGUUUGCAUUUCAAUCGAAGGUCAUG